rnacentral:rRNA from 1 species
ACGAACGCUGGCGGCGUGCUUAACACCUGCAAGUCGAACGGAAAGGCCCUGCUUUUGUGGGGUGCUCGAGUGGCGAACGGGUGAGUAACACGUGAGUAACCUGCCCUUGACUUUGGGAUAACUUCAGGAAACUGGGGCUAAUACCGGAUAGGAGCUCCUGCUGCAUGGUGGGGGUUGGAAAGUUUCGGCGGUUGGGGAUGGACUCGCGGCUUAUCAGCUUGUUGGUGGGGUAGUGGCUUACCAAGGCUUUGACGGGUAGCCGGCCUGAGAGGGUGACCGGCCACAUUGGGACUGAGAUACGGCCCAGACUCCUACGGGAGGCAGCAGUGGGGAAUAUUGCACAAUGGGCGGAAGCCUGAUGCAGCAACGCCGCGUGCGGGAUGACGGCCUUCGGGUUGUAGACCGCUUUCGCCUGUGACGAAGCGUGAGUGACGGUAAUGGGUAAAGAAGCACCGGCUAACUACGUG